GGUGCGCAGGCGUCAAGGCUACGGGCUGCGUCCGGGGUGGCCGUCGCUUUCGCCGGGAGUUUGGGGAGCACAGGCCGGAGGAGCGAGUGUGUGGUCAUGUCGGCGUCGGUAGUGUCGGUUAUCUCGCGGUUCCUAGAGGAGUACCUGAGCUCCACUCCUCAGCGCCUGAAGCUGCUUGACGCGUACCUCCUGUACAUACUGCUGACCGGGGCGCUGCAGUUCGGUUAUUGUCUCCUCGUGGGGACCUUCCCCUUCAACUCUUUUCUCUCGGGCUUCAUCUCUUGUGUGGGGAGCUUCAUCCUAGCGGUUUGCCUCAGGAUACAGAUCAACCCACAGAACAAAGCAGAUUUCCAAGGCAUCUCCCCAGAGCGAGCCUUUGCUGAUUUUCUGUUUGCCAGCACCAUCCUGCACCUUGUUGUAAUGAACUUCGUUGGCUGAAUUAUUCCCAUUUACUUAAUUGGGGAGUGGGAGACUAGAAGAAUCUCAGAUGAUUCCUGCUCCAUGUCAUCCCAGCCCCCAGGUUGUAUAAGAGCCUGUUCUGGAGCCCAUUGUGCAUACCUCUAAUGCUACACUUACCCAAUAGUUAUGGAAUGGUUCACUUUUUGAUUUCCCUUGGAUGAGAACUUUUGAGAUGGCAACUUGGACAUGUGGAUUUUCUUCAAGAAAAUAAGAUUUAUACUUAAAUACUGAUUCUGAUUUCAAAUGUAGGUGGAGAGCCCAGAGAAGUUUCCUUGCUUCUGUUAGAGCAGCUUUGUAAUGAGCAUUUAUUAACAUGACCUCUGCUUCCCAUUAAGUGUAACCUUUUUGCCUUCCAAAUUAAAAAACUCCAUGCCACUCCUU